rnacentral:rRNA from 1 species
GAUAAACGCUGGCGGCGUGCUUAACACAUGCAAGUCGAACGGAGUAUUCCUCCCGCAGAUUGAAGAAGCUUGCUUCUGAUUGAAGCAUUUGGAAUACUUAGUGGCGGACGGGUGAGUAACGCGUGGGUAACCUGCCUCACACUGGGGGAUAGCAGUUGGAAACGACUGAUAAUACCGCAUAAGCGCACAGUACCGCAUGGUACGGUGUGAAAAACUUCGGUGGUGUGAGAUGGACCCGCGUCUGAUUAGCUAGUUGGUGAGGUAACGGCCCACCAAGGCGACGAUCAGUAGCCGGCCUGAGAGGGUGUACGGCCACAUUGGGACUGAGACACGGCCCAAACUCC